ensembl:snoRNA U3 Small nucleolar RNA U3
AAGACUAUGUUUUCAGAGAUCAUUUCUGUAGUUCACUACUAGAGAAGUUUCUCUGAACAUGAAGAAUAUCUGAAACCACGAGGAUUAGGUGCAGCGUCCUCUCCUGAGUGUAAAGCCGGCUGUGGGAGUUGCUUCUGUAGCUGCCUUUGUUACUGAUGAUCGUUCUUCUCUUCCUUUGGGAGAGUGAGAGGGAGGGGAUGCCGUCUGAGUAGG